AGAGAGACGACUUUUAGCGCACUCACCUCGGCAACCUUUUGGGCUGUUUUUUCUUCGUCUCUCCUGACAGUUCUGAGCUCCUGAUCAGUAUCAAUGAUUUUCCCACUCUUGAUCUCUUUGAGAAGCUCGUAGUUGGCUUUCGUCUCUGCAGCCCAUAGGGCGGCGGGCUCGACUUUGCUUACUUCGUUGAGAAAAGUCUCGUACUGAAAAGUGCUCGCGAAAAGCCACUUUUUCCUUUUUCUUCGCGGCUUUGAUAUCCUCGUCGCGCCUCUCUUCGAUAAGCUUGCAUUGGGCCUCGCACUCUUCCAGCCUCUAAGUACAUAUUCUUACCCUAAAGCUUCUUGGACAAGUCCAGAUUUGUAACCUAUAGCUCGUUGUAGUUAGCCUCCGCCUCCUUCAUCAUAUCCCUGAUCUGAUUCG
rnacentral:lncRNA from 1 species